UAGGGAGCAAGCGUUGUCCGGAUUUACUGGGUGUAAAGGGUGCGUAGGCGGUCCUGCAAGUCAGAAGUGAAAUCCAUGGGCUUAACCCAUGAACUGCUUUUGAAACUGUGGGACUUGAGUGGAGUAGAGGUAGGCGGAAUUCCCGGUGUAGCGGUGAAAUGCGUAGAGACCGGGAGGAACACCAGUGGCGAAGGCGGCCUACUGGGCUCUAACUGACGCUGAGGCACGAAAGCGUGGGUAGCAAA
rnacentral:rRNA from 1 species